rnacentral:rRNA from 1 species
GACGAACGCUGGCGGCGUGCUUAACACAUGCAAGUCGAACGGAAAGGCCCUGCUUUUGUGGGGUGCUCGAGUGGCGAACGGGUGAGUAACACGUGAGUAACCUGCCCUUGACUUUGGGAUAACUUCAGGAAACUGGGGCUAAUACCGGAUAGGAGCUCCUGCUGCAUGGUGGGGGUUGGAAAGUUUCGGCGGUUGGGGAUGGACUCGCGGCUUAUCAGCUUGUUGGUGGGGUAGUGGCUUACCAAGGCUUUGACGGGUAGCCGGCCUGAGAGGGUGACCGGCCACAUUGGGACUGAGAUACGGCCCAGACUCCUACGGGAGGCAGCAGUGGGGAAUAUUGCACAAUGGGCGGAAGCCUGAUGCAGCAACGCCGCGUGCGGGUUGACGGCCUUCGGGUUGUAAACCGCUUUCGCCUGUGACGAAGCGUGAGUGACGGGAAUGGGUAAAGAAACACCGGCUAACUACGU